AGCGAACGCUGGCGGCAGGCUUAACACAUGCAAGUCGAGCGGGCACUUCGGUGUCAGCGGCAGACGGGUGAGUAACACGUGGGAACGUACCCGUUGGUUCGGAAUAACGCUGGGAAACUAGCGCUAAUACCGGAUACGCCCUUUUGGGGAAAGGCUUGCUGCCGAAGGAUCGGCCCGCGUCUGAUUAGCUAGUUGGUGGGGUAAUGGCCUACCAAGGCGACGAUCAGUAGCUGGUCUGAGAGGAUGAUCAGCCACGCUGGGGCUGAGACACGGCCUAGAACCCUACGGGAGGGAGCAGUGGGGAAUAUUGGACGAUGGGCGCAAGCCUGAUCCAGCCAUGCCGGGUGAGUGAUGAAGGCCUUAGGGUUGUAAAGCCCUUUUGUCCGGGACGAUAAUGACGGUACCGGAAGAAUAAGCCCCGGCUAACUUCGUG
rnacentral:rRNA from 1 species